CCAGACUCCUACGGGAGGCAGCAGUGAGGAAUAUUGGUCAAUGGGCGGGAGCCUGAGCCAGCCAAGUCGCGUGAGGGAAGACGGUCCUACGGAUUGUAAACCUCUUUUGCCGGGGAGCAACGGGGUCCUUGCGAGGGCCCGAUGAGAGUACCCGGAGAAAAAGCAUCGGCUAACUCCGUGCCAGCAGCCGCGGUAAUACGGAGGAUGCGAGCGUUAUCCGGAUUUAUUGGGUUUAAAGGGUGCGUAGGUGGUUAAUUAAGUCAGCGGUGAAAGUUUGUGGCUCAACCAUAAAAUUGCCGUUGAAACUGGUUGACUUGAGUAUAUUUGAGGUAGGCGGAAUGCGUGGUGUAGCGGUGAAAUGCAUAGAUAUCACGCGGAACUCCGAUUGCGAAGGCAGCAUACCGGCGCCCAACUGACGCUGAAGCACGAAAGCGUGGGUAUCGAACAGGAUUAGAUACCCCCGUACA
rnacentral:rRNA from 1 species